rnacentral:rRNA from 1 species
UACGAAGGGGGCUAGCGUUGCUCGGAAUCACUGGGCGUAAAGGGUGCGUAGGCGGGUUUUUAAGUCAGGGGUGAAAUCCUGAGCUCAACUCCAGAACUGCCUUUGAUACUGAAGAUCUUGAGUUCGGGAGAGGUGAGUGAACUGCGAGUGUAGAGGUGAAAUUCGUAGAUAUUCGCAAGAACACCAGUGGCGAAGGCGGCUCACUGGCCCGAUACUGACGCUGAGGCACGAAAGCGUGGGAGCAACAGG